CCCAGAGGUGGCCACAGGACUCAUUUGUGGCCAAUGAGAGGCAUGUCGGACACUUUUUCUGAUUGGAAGGGGGAAAACUCUACAAUCCCUACCUUUUUUUUUUAAAACACAUAAUCCUUCCCUUUUCUCGCUGCCUGGAAAAAUGGUCAUGAUGCCUGGAAGCACAGCAGCCAUCUUGAGGCCAAGAGGACAAAAGCCACACGGCUAAAGAUGAUGGUGGAGGGGGCACCUGGGUGACUCAGGUGGUUGAGCGUCCGACUUCGGCUCAGGCCAUGAUCUCACUACUCGUGAGUUCAAGCCCCACAUCAGCCUGGCUGCUGUCAGUGCCGAGCCCACGUCAGACCCUCUGGCCCCCUCGCCCUGCCCCUCCCCCACUUGCGCUCUCUCAAAAAUAAAUAAAAACAUUAAAAACAAAUGGAUAAAAGACAAUAAAGAUGAUGAUGGAAAACAGAAGGAGCCCAGGUCCCAGGGGCAUCAUAAGACCACCUUACUGGUGCCAGAUUCCUCACUUCCAGACUUCACCUUCUUUGAGGAACAGCAAGCUUCUCCCUCUAUUUCAGCCACUUCGUUGUUUUGUUUUGUUUUGUUCUUCGGUCAUGUAUAGUGACAAGAAAUUCCAGAGUGGUUCUGAUGUCGUACGGGAUAAGGAUCCUUUCUUCCUCCCAAAUAGAGAGACGGAGGGAGAGAGAGCGGCAGAGAGAAGAGAGACAGGCUUCCAAGCAGGCUCGGCACCCAGCUCGGAGCCGGAUGCGGGGUUCGGACCCACAAACCGUGAGAUCAUGACCUGAGCGGAGGUCAGGAGUCGGCCGCUUAACCGCCUGAGCCACCCGGGUGCCCCCAGACUUCCCUUUAAUUGCACAAAAGUGCUAGGAAGAAAACGCGUGUGAACCAACACUUCCGGGUUAUCUUGACGUCCGCCCUCUCCCCGUCCAUCCGACGCGUCCGUUCGAAUUCACAAAACAAAGGACACGCGGAGAAGCUGGGGCCGUUGGCGACAGGGGCUGGAUGGCCAGAUGGGCCCGUGAGAGUCCUUCCAGCUUCUCAGAUGCGGCCCCGCUGUGCACGGAUGCGAGACAGGUGUGGCUCCGCGGCUCCCCAGCUGGGCCCACUCAGGCGAGCUGCCCCUUGUUUCAUCAUCUGUAAAACGCAGCCCCGAGACCGGCUUGGCACGCCCGAUCUGUGUGGCUGCUCAGAGCCCUGCAGGCAGAAGGGCCCCGCGCUCGGUUUGAGGCCGGGCAGUUGCCAUCUGGAAAGCCCCCGCCCACUUUACUGAGCCAUAAUUGGCACAUAGCAUUGGGUGAGUUUCCCGGUGCGUGUGUUGAUCCGAUACACUUAUAAAUUGCCAAACGCUCA